rnacentral:rRNA from 1 species
GAGCGGUAACAGACAUAAAGAUUCAGCUUGCUGAAUCCGGGGCUGACGAGCGGCGAACGGGUGAGUAACGCGUAGGAAUCUACCCAGUAGCGGGGGAUAGCCAGAGGAAACUCUGAUUAAUACCGCAUACGCCCUGAGGGGGAAAGGGGGCAAUUAUUGCUCUCACUAUUGGAUGAGCAA